AUGAUCAACGGAGGUGUUCGAGUAGGCGAGAUGGCUCCGUCUAAGAGCACGUCGUUUCCCGACAUGCUUGAAAUGGCCCAAAAAAAUUUCAUGCCUUGUAUGACCAAUUCAAGGCACCAUGACAAGUUGUUUUGGUUUUCGACAAGUUUUGCAUUUUCCGUAGUUUUCUCGGUAAAAAAAUGCUUGAUAAUGGGCGGCCGUGUCGCAACUUGCAUACGUUGUCAGAAAUCGUACAAACCUGGCAUGGAUGACUGCCAUGGUCAUGCCCACCUGCUUGAAAAGGUUGGGGUCAUUUUAAGAAUCUCCAAAAGUAGACCAUGUUUAAUGAAGGGUGUACGGGUUGGCUAG
rnacentral:rRNA from 1 species